rnacentral:rRNA from 1 species
AUUGAACGCUGGCGGCAGGCUUAACACAUGCAAGUCGAACGGUAGCAGGAGAAAGCUUGCUUUCUUGCUGACGAGUGGCGGACGGGUGAGUAAUGCUUGGGAAUCUGGCUUAUGGAGGGGGAUAACUACGGGAAACUGUAGCUAAUACCGCGUAGAAUCGGAAGAUGAAAGUGCGGGACCGCAAGGCCGCAUGCCAUGAGAUGAGCCCAAGUGGGAUUAGGUAGUUGGUGGGGUAAGGGCCUACCAAGCCUGCGAUCUCUAGCUGGUCUGAGAGGAUGGCCAGCCACACUGGAACUGAGACACGGUCCAGACUCCUACGGGAGGCAGCAGUGGGGAAUAUUGCGCAAUGGGGGGAACCCUGACGCAGCCAUGCCGCGUGAAUGAAGAGGGCCUUCGGGUUGUAAAGUUCUUUCGGUAUUGAGGAAGGUUGAUGUGUUAAUAGUACAUCAAAUUGACGUUAAAUACAGAAGAAGCACCGACUAACUCCGUG